CCCCGCGCGGGAGAGAAAUAAAAGCAGCUCGGAAAAGCAAGCACCGGGCCCUUCUUUAUUUCCUUUGCCGCGGAUCCUUCAGGCGUUGAACCCGCGUUCUGAGCCAGCCGAACCGCGACCCUGCCCGCCGGCGGUAGAGACAGGGUACGGCCACUCCUGACGCGUGCCCCGAUCGCCUCCCGGUACCGGGGCGCAGCGUCCCUUUGGCGCACAAGCUCCCGGCGGGCGGGAAAGCCAACACUCUCCGUUCCAGACGUGAGACGAGCUUUCCCCUGGAUCGAGGACUACCUCCGAGAUUUUCGUUUCCAGGAAUCUUCGGUUUCGUGAGUAUUCCAGUGGCCGGGACGGGCGCGACUGGGGUACCCUGAAGUUGGGUGGGGGUGACUCCCGGGGAUUAGGGGAGGCGUAGUGCGCUACAUUCAAACACCCCUUCGCGCCGGUGAUUCUUGGGUGUUUUUCCUUUAGUUUUGGUUUUACCUCGGAGGUGGGUGGAAAAGAACCUAGCAAAUAGUCUCAGUCUGAGUAUUCUAGUGGCCGGGAUGGACCCGACUAGGGUACAAUGGGGUAGAGCGAGACUGUCUGCUAGGGAGAAGGAAGUUUAUAACCAAGUUGUGGAUUCCUUGAUGGGAAGAGGGUUUUGUUUAUCUAAGGGAAAAGUUAAGAGAUUUGUUAAAUGGAUUUUCUUUCAUUUUCCAACUACUGCCUUUGAUGAAGUAAAAACGCUAAGAUUUUGGGAUAAGAUCGGAAUGAAAUUUGGAGAAGAUGCAAUGAUAGAUGGUGAAUCAAAAAGUAAUUUUUAUCCUCUCUUUAUAAAAUUGAAAACUAUUACAUUAGUAAUGGAAAACAAAGUGAAAGAAAAUCCAAAUAAAUCUUCCCCAGUUCCUCUUGAAACCCCUGCUCCAGUUCCCCUUGUUCCUGACCCCCAGCAUCCCGAACCGGGUGAGCUGAGGGGAGCAAACCACCUGCAGCAAGUGCACAGCUGCCCCCACAUUGUGGGUCUCCCUAGCUGCCCACAUCUCCCCCGGUUCCCCUCUGGCUCUGGCAGGACUGAUCACCCUGUCAGAGCUCCUUCCCUAGACCCUAAUACCUCACCCCUUUUAAAUGUAGUAAAACCUGUAGAUCGUCCCCCAGAUUCCUCACCUCACCCAGAGUCUCAGAAUGGAGAAUGUCAAAUAGCUUUGCCUUCAUUUUGUGGUUCUUCUCCCCAUAAUCCUUUUCUCACCUGCUCCCUUCCCCCUUACCUUGAGUCACAAAAUGUUGGACACUGCAUGGCUUGGUCCCCAUCUUGUGGUCCUCCUUCUACUUCCCAUAAUCACUUUUUCCUUUGUUCCCUUCCCCUGUCUCAAAACCCACAGUUGUGAUCUGGCUUCUCCUCUUCCCAUCCUCCAAUUACCCUGGCUUUACCCCCUGUAUCUCCCUUCAAUGAAGUGUUUCUAGAUUUUGUAGGCAAAGUCAGAAAGGUGGUGAAAAAGAGAACUCCUAGAUCAAAAGCCCAAGAUGACAUCAUAAUAAACAUCGUAACUGAAGGUGCAAAUGAAGACUGCAAGACUCAGCCUUCCUUCUUCGCCACCACCGUUGUUAGACCUAAGUAUAGAAGAAUGUACCAGAAAAGCAAGACUUCCUCAAGCAGAAGCACCAAAGAAAGUCACCACAGCAGGAGCAGAGGCUCCACUACCUUCCACAUCAUCGUGACGUCCGUACCGGACAACAUGUGGAAACAACUGAACAUCUUUACAGAAUGAAGUUUGUCCGGAUGGAUGUCAUCUGUCUUUAAAGACAUUUGUUUAGUUGUGUUAAUGCUGUGCCUAAUUUCUGUUGUUAUUAGUGUUUGUAGAAAACUGUUUGUUAAAAGUGUUGCCAACUCCAGCCGGGAACCCUCUCCCCCUCAGUGAUGGUAGAAAGAAUCCAAAGUUUAAUUAGACACCAUUGCCACUGCCAUCAUCCCCUCAACACUAUCAUAAAAAUUAUACAAAAAAGGGGGAAUUGGAGCAGUGGGGGUUU